rnacentral:misc_RNA from 1 species
CGGCCGCUGUCUGGGGUUUCUUACGUAAUUGGUGCCACUGCGACUGUCAGCUGAUCCCGCCACUCGACUCGAGCCGAGCGCUUGGCACUUACAGUUGAAGACUCACCGGUACGGAAGGAGUACGUGCCUGCUGUCCUUCCUUAGACCCGUAUACUUGCCUGGCAACAUGUCUCUCUUGAUAGACUCCCUCAUUACAAUCUGCAAUGUAUCAACGAUAGGCCUGUGUGGCUUUAUGAAGGUUCCCCAGAUCAUUGCCAUCAUAAAGGCGAGAUCAACAAAGGGGCUAAGUUUGACGAGUUUGAUGUUGGAGCUGACCAGUUACACCAUCAUGUUGAGUUACAACAUUUACUCUGGCUACUCCUUCAGCUCCUACUUUGAAUAUCCUUUAAUGGUUACUCAAGAUGUGGUGAUGCUAGUGGUGUUCCUUUUAUUCACUGGCCGCCUCUCCCCAACUCUCCUAGUACCAGCUACUGCUGCCGUUUACUUUGCAUACUCUGUAGCUUCAGGCAGCCUUCCUCAUGCUCUCAUCACUACUCUUGUGGGUCUGUGUACACCCAUAUCAGCCAGCAGCAAGGUGAUGGCACUCUUCACUAUCAUUCGCAUCAAGAACUCGGCUACUGUGUCUGUGUCAUCCUUGUCUAUCUCUGCUUACACCUGUUUCACUCGGUUAUUCACCAUUUAUGUGGAGUCAGCAGAUCCAGCACUUCUGAUGAAUUUUGGAAUGAGUCUAAUGCUCAACUUUUGUCUCAUCACUGCAGCCAUCAUUUACAAACCAAAAAAGAAAGAUGACUAAAUGCUCCUCAUCACAUCACUUAAAAGAAGAGAGAGAGGGAGGUGUAGAUAAUAAUAACACUAAGGUCACAGGGCUUGCCAGAUGUUGCCUCGAAAUAGGAAAAAAUUACCUAUUGUAAGGGAACAUGUCUCAAGGCUCGAGGAGGCGAGCAAGAAAAGAUGCCAGAUAACUCCACUAGCCCCAGGACCAAUAGUGAGGGGGAGAGAUUCAAACGUUUAGCACAGAAAAAUCAUGAUUCCCGGAAUGAUCCCUGCCUCUUCGCAUGCGACGGCUAGCCAGCGCAGCGGCAGACGGACACCAGCCGCCAUACACACCACUACCCCUGUUCUGUCCAGCGAAGAUUGUGUGCGAGGUCGUGCCGCAGGAGAGGCACGAGCGACGGGAUCAAGCACGAGGAGCCAGUGUGGGCGAGUUGUGGGCCCUUACGAGUGCGUGGGACUCCCUACAUGUGUUGCCGCCGUGCCAGUGGAGGAGACGGCCAUGAGAGGAGGGAGACACGACGUUGGAGACGUGUGAUCACCAAGACUGUGGUGCCUGCUGUGCUGCUAGUUCUGUGCUCUGUAAUAAACUGCAAUUGGGAGAACAGUGUUUCGAGU